rnacentral:rRNA from 1 species
GGGGAAUCUUGCGCAAUGGGCGAAAGCCUGACGCAGCGACGCCGCGUGCGGGAAGAAGGCCCUAGGGUUGUAAACCGCUUUCAGGAGGGACGAAGCCACUCGGGUGAAUAGCCCAGAGGGUGACGGUACCUCCAGAAGAAGCCCCGGCUAACUACGUGCCAGCAGCCGCGGUAAUACGUAGGGGGCAAGCGUUGUCCGGAUUUAUUGGGCGUAAAGAGCGUGUAGGCGGCCAGGUAGGUCGGUUGUGAAAACUGGAGGCUCAACCUUCAGACGUCGACCGAAACCCCCUGGCUAGAGUCCGGGAGAGGAGAGUGGAAUUCCUGGUGUAGCGGUGGAAUGCGCAGAUAUCAGGAAGAACACCCGUGGCGAAAGCGGCUCUCUGGAACGGUACUGACGCUGAGACGCGAAAGCGUGGGGAGCGAAC